UUUUUAAAUACCGUCACUUGUUUCGCACUUUUUAAAAAAGUGAAUGGAAGUUGCUUACAGUUUUCAGUUGAGCUGUGUCGUAAGAAGAUACUUUACGACGGCAGUGACGUAGACGGAGUGUGAGUUGAAGCUACCGCGAAACUGUUUCCCUUGAGUCCACACACUGACUGCAGCGUUUUUUUAUUAUUAUUAUUUAAUCGACAACGCCAAUAAUGUUGUCUUCAGCCUGAUUUUAAAUCACAUCCUACUGCCAGUAAUGGAUGAGAGUGACCAACAGAAAUCUGACUGUGACACAAGAUGGGUGCAGCAACUGUCAGGACUUCCUCCCAAGCUUCUGCAGCGCCUGAUGCCUUUUCAAAGGGAGGGAGUGGAGUUCGCUUUGUCUCAGAAUGGACGAUGUAUGAUUGCCGAUGAGAUGGGUUUGGGGAAGACGGUCCAGGCCAUCGCAGUGGCGUGCGCUUACAGAGCGGAGUGGCCCCUCCUGGUGGUGGUGCCCUCCUCUCUCAAAUAUCCCUGGAUCGAGGAGCUGGAGAGGUGGAUCCCAGAGCUGCAGCCCGGAGACGUCAACUUGGUGGAGAGCAAGAGCCAUACCAUGGAUAUCAGCAGCAGUAAAGUGACAGUGCUGGGUUACGGCCUGCUCACCACAGACGCACGCCCCCUAGUGGAGGCUCUCAGCAGGCAGCGGUUCGGCGUAGUCGUGGUGGACGAGUCUCAUUACCUCAAAUCGAGGAACGCAGCGAGGACCAAGAUCCUCGUCCCUCUCAUUCAGAGUGCAAAGCGGGCCAUCCUGCUCACCGGUACCCCCGCUCUGGGUCGACCCGAAGAGCUUUUUAUGCAGAUUGAUGCCCUCUAUCCCAAGAGGUUUGGAACGUGGACAGACUACACCAAGAAAUACUGCAACGCCCAUUACAGAUAUUUUGGGCCUCGCAGGCAGUGGGACUGUCGUGGCGCCUCCAACCUAGAGGAGCUGCACCAGCGGCUGAGCCAGAUCAUGAUCCGUCGACUCAAAGCAGAAGUUCUGAGUCAGCUGCCUCCGAAAAUCCGUCAACGCAUCCCCUUUGACCUGCCCAAGGAGGCUGCCAAGGAGGCCUCGGCCUGCUUCGCCGAGUGGGAGAGGCUGAUGAAGGGACUGGGGUCGAGGGUCGCCGCUACGGAAAACCCCUUCACAGAGGUCAUGAGUCUGGUUACACAGAUGUACAAACAAACAGCUAUUGCCAAGGCGGGAGCUGUGAAGGACUACAUUAAGAUGGUGCUGGAGGCAGAGCAACUGAAGUUCCUGGUGUUCGCCCACCACCUCACCAUGCUGCAGGCCUGCACCGAAGCCGCCAUUGAGGCCAAGGCUGGGUACAUCCGAAUCGACGGCAGCGUGCCUUCAUCGGAGCGAAUCAAGUUAGUCCACAAAUUCCAGAGUGAUCCAGAAACCCGAGUCGCCAUCCUCAGUAUCCAAGCCGCCGGUCAGGGUUUGACCUUCACCGCUGCCAGCCAUGUGGUGUUUGCCGAGCUCUACUGGAACCCCGGACACAUGAAGCAGGCGGAAGACCGUGCUCACCGCAUCGGACAGACGUCCUCUGUCAACGUGCACUACCUCAUCGCCAAGGGCACCUUUGACACAGUCAUGUGGUCUAUGCUCAACAGGAAGGAAACUGUUACUGGUAGCACAUUGAACGGCAGGAAGGAAUACCUGAAGGCUGAUGAAGGUGACAAGGACAAGUGGGAGUUCCUCAGCCUUGCCAACGCUUGGACGCCGAGUGAGAUGGUGCUACCGCUGGAGGGAAACACAGGAAAUGUGAACGAUGACAUUUUCUUCUCCUAUUUUGAGAAAGAAAAGCAGCACGAUAUUCGCUCGUUCUUCUCGCCAAGUGCCAGCAAGGAGAAGAGGAAGAACCCAAAUGACGGGGAACCGUCUCCGUCUCCAUCCUCGGAGCCGGUGGAAGAAGCUGACUCCGACCGCUCUCCCACCUGUGUGAAUCUCGACCAGGACUUUUCACCGCAGCUGAAGAGACUUCGAACGCCCAAGUCCAGGUCGAGCCCCGGGUCUCGUUUUGCCGGGAAGCGGAGGUUGAUGCCGGGAUGGAACAGCCCAGGAAGUCCCGCCUCGAUUGUCCGCCGGAAGCCUCAGAAGACGUGGAGCUGCGGGGCGUGCACCUACUCCAACAGCGGCCUGCUGCCUUACUGCGAGAUGUGCGAAUUCCCGCGCUCGUCUGGGCUCAAACCUGAGUCACCAGGGCCUUCUCAAGCCUCCACUGGCCAAGAGUACGUUGUCCUUUCCAGCUCCGAAAGCGAACCAGAGCCUCUGAAAGUCAAACAGACGUUGGAAGAAGCGGAUAAGUGUUGGCCCAAAGGCAAACAAUCAGCGAAGGAGGGAGGCGACAACAUGGCUGGCAGCGGCAGCUGCCUCUCCCCUGACCACACACAGGACUGCGGAGUGGUGUCAUGCUCAUCUUCUGCUGCUGAUGCUAAUGGUGGCGAUGAAGGCAAUGAUGAAGGUGACGCCGCCUCCGCCCAGCUCGUUUACCCGGGCCUGAAGUUCUGCGCCAGCCAGUACACCGACCGGAUUUAUCUCUACUCCAAGGACGGAGCGCCGUUGAACUUGAGCUUCAUCCCUCUGGACAUCAAGCUAACCAACUGGGACGACCUGCCGGAGGCCUUCAGCCAGCACCGGGAAAAUCGAAUACAGGUGCUGAGAUUCGUUCAGGAGUGGAGCGGCCUGGCAGCCAUGAAGCAGAAGUUGCUGCGACGCAGUGCUUUUCUCUUCCACAGCCCAACCCUGGGCCUGCAGCAGCUGGCCGCCAACCAACGUCCCCACUCCAGCACCAACAGGUAUCUGAGCAGAGAGGAGGUUGCCGAGGCUUCCCUCAGCAAAGCCUGGGAAGAAGGAGGCGGCGUCCGUGUGGUCACCAAGGAAAACUUCUUCACAAAGAGGAAAUCUGGCAAUUCACAAACAUCGGCUGCUGCAGAGAGAUUGGACCAGCAGUCUUGCAAAGCAGAAGUUGAGCAUCCAUCUUCAGAGCCCAGCUACCUGCAGGCUGUGGACAGUCAGGGUGUCCCUCUGUGCCUCUCCUGCCAGCAGGCCUGUCCUACCACAGGUGGAGCUUGGGAUACUCGAUUCUGCAGCCACAGAUGCCAGGAGGAAUUCCAGCUGCGGUCCAGCCAGACGUUCAUGCGUUCCUGCGUGCUGGAGGCAGAGCAAGGCAUUUGUCAACACUGUGGCCUCAAAGCUCAUGAGCUGUUCCUGAAGGUCCGUGAUGCACCAGCCUCCAAGCGGAAGGAGAUGCUGGAGAACACAUGGCUGGCCCAGCUGCCUCUUAAACAGCUCAACGAGAUGAUCCGCGCACCGGUGGAGGGAGACUUUUGGCAGGUGGACCACAUCCGGCCGGUCUACAGAGGAGGAGGACAGUGCUCCAUGGACAACCUGCAGACGCUCUGCACCGCCUGCCACAAAGCCCGGACGGCUCAGCAAGCCAGAGAGCGCAGCCAGAUGAAGAAGAGCGCCGCUGCCUCCAAGGUUGCGUCAGACAUCAGCAGGUUCUUCAUCAGGAAAUAAAACACUUUCACAGUUAAUUAAAGUAGGUUUAGGUUAGAAAUUUUUUUGAUUUACAGUAACUGGUUGAAGAUGUGUGGAGAAAAAAACCCUUGAGCCUUUUCACUUUUUACAAACUUCAGUUUAUUUUGUUAGGAUUUUAUGACAGACCAAUGAAAAGCUUUGAUUUAUUGUUUUUUUUUUAGGUGAAUAAGAUUCAAGGGGGUGAAAUACGAGUUUAUUAUAAAAUUUUACAACUUUUUUUACUGUCAAUACAAUAUCGGUAUCGGUAUCGUUAUUAGAUACCAACUAUACUUUUGUUAUUUUAUAGUGUGGAUUGUUGUUUCUAUCAAAGAAUCAGAUAAAAUCUGAUUCUCGUUUUUUUGUCUGAUUUCCGAGAUCAAUAUCGGAUCGGGUUACCUCUAAAAAUUAUAUCUCAUUUUCCUUAGCACAGUUUCUGCACUGUUUUCCAUUAGAGCUAGGCGAUAUAGUUUAAAAAUAAAAUGUACUACUUUUUUCGUACCAGAUACAAUUUUUUUUUCUCUCUUUUACUUUUCUAAAAAACUAAUUACAAAUGACAGAAAUUAUUUUAAAAAAGAGGCUUUUAUGUCAGUCAUUCCUUCAGUGAAUUGUACCUGGAUUAUUGGGACUGGUCUAUGAGAAUUGUCAUUUAAUUUCGAGAAUAUAGUCAGAAUAUUAGCAGAAAAAAAGUCUUAAAAUUGCCAGAAUCUGAUCUGAGCAUCUCAGUUUAAAAUAGACAAUUAUUUCAAAGUCCAGUACUGAUAAUAAUUUGAUGCUGAUGUCUACUGGUAAAACUUUACAAAGUCUUCACAAGAUGCUCAACAUUCCUCUUUGUGAUUUUUUAAUUUUUCAUGUGGGAGUUUUUAUAAAGUUACUAAUUAAUUCUCUUAAUAUUACGCCUUUGCUAAAAAUCGUAGACUGGGCCUAAUAUUUUAUUAUAGAGUUGGCCUGAAUUCAAAGUCCAAAUAAAUAGAAGCGGGAAAACAAGAUGGCGGCCUUGGGUGGUACAAAAAAAAAAAGUCCAGAUUUUUCUAAAAUGACAUAUUCAAAAACCGCCCAGCUCAAGUUUGUGUUGAUCUUUCAAAUAAAAUCCCAACAAACCGCUGAAGUUUAACUGUAAAGUGACAAAAUCAGGAUGUACUUUAAUACGGCGUCGCCCUGACAUAUCUGGAUGCAUCACUUCCCGAUGACAUCACCCCUCCGCCCCCCCGUCUCUGCUAGCCCUCAUUACAUCAGAACACGCUCCGAAAGAGAUUUAUCUAAAAGGUUAAAAGAAAAAAAGAAAAAGAAUGGUGACGACUUGCUUCAAAUGCAAAUUCAGCCAACUUCCCUCUCGUCCCCGAACCGUCACGAGCGCGUUGGGUUUGAUUUAUGACGGCCCCCUUUUUCUCUUUCGCUCCAGGCUGAAGUGGAGCGCGUUUUUUAGAGAGAUGCUUCUAUUUUAAGAUUUUGCAAACUUGGUAAAAAUGAAAAAAACAUAAUAAAGGUAAGAAAAAGUGAAAGCAGGUGAGAUGAAUUGAGGGGAUUGAGAUGGAACGGUUCUGCAGGAAAACACAACCAGGUGUCCUGCUUGGUCCUCAACAUGUGGACCUUUUGCAGUUCUUCUUAUGAUGGAUGGGAGAAAUAAAUAGCUCUAUUCUUUUUCUCUCUUUUUUUUAUUCUUGUCUCCCUUUAUUCAUCUGUAAAUACUCUCAGCUGGGAGAUCAUUUCAUCGCCUCAAGUCAGGAACAUUAUCCAUGUCCACGCAUCUACAUCCUCUUCAGCUAUGCUUGAUGAUCUGAGCAGAGGUAGAGCCGCGCGAGGCUAUGUUUAGAGAGCGGGAGAGCCGAGUUACUAUGGAAACAAGGCUUCAGGUUCAGCCAUGUCGGGAAUAUUGAAUCUGUUUUUCUCCUCGUAUAUGUGUGUGUGUGUGUGUGUGUAUGAGAGUGUUACACAAUGAGCCAGACAUCAGAAAACUCCAAUCAAUAUUAGCGGCUCCUGCGAAAACGAGGCCGUCGCAUUCCUCCUGACAGCGCGUCUGUCAGGCGUGUCAGAGUCCUAACUCAGCACAAUCCCGCCACCGCCUGGAAAACUUUAACGUUUCCCUCUGACAGCCCCAAACUUCACGCGUCGCGUCAAAACUCCCUCGGAAAAGAGCGCGUGGGGGCGCGCGCGCGUAGGUGUGUGUGCGCGCGUUUCCCCUACGGCUGCUCCAGGUCUCCACUUAAUAAGACCGUUGUUCCUCUCCUGUCCAAACCGACAAGCUUUGUGAGUAAUGAACAUCUCCCAGGCAGCCUUCCAACAACAGCAGGUUUCAGUGUCAGUCCCUGUCAGCAGCCAAUGACUCUGAUCUGCUGUUUUAUUACAUCCAAAAGGUGUGUGUGGGGCAGGACCGGGAAGUUGUGAGGAAAGUGUGGAUAAAGAAAUCGGUUUGGCAGAGGAGGGGAGGCGUAUGUUUGUCAGAGGAAGCCCGUAAUGAGGCGGCGGUCCGAUGAAGUCGUCUCAUGUUCCUCCCAGAAGGUCUGCUGGGUAAAGAGCAGCGCUUCGGUUUGCGUUUGGAAAAACACCCCAGAGGAGAAGCGCUUCCCCCGCAGGUGAUCUCGGUAAUAAAGACGGACUCAAACGCCGACGGAGGGCCGCAGAGGUUUCCAUGUUUGCUCUCAAACACAUUACUCCCUCUUGUUUUUUUGUUGUUUUUAAAUCAGGAUGAGGCCAACACCCCAGCUCGCUUCUCCGAAAUCAAUAUCUUUCGUCUCCGCGUUACAGUUGCAGAGACGUCCCCGCGGGUUUCGUAGCAACAGUGCAGGCGAUAAAAGUCACAAGGCUUAAAUUAGCUGCAGAUCUGGCGGAAAUAAGCACAUAUAAUUAGAAAGUCACAGUUGGUGACAAAAAGGAAACAGGAGAAAAGUUCUUUCUAGAAAAAAGUACCAUCUUAAGAAAGUCAAGCGAAUGACUCAUAUGUGACUAUCAGAUAAACUAUCAUAUGGAUGUAAGAAUGGACCAUAUGCUAUAAACUUCAAAAAUGGGAUUGUCUUGAUGCACAAAUCUGGGAAUGGGGACAGAAAGAAGUUUGGAACCAGCAGGAGUCUGAGAAAUGGUCAAAAAAGAUGCAAAUAAUGCAGAGAAAACAAGUUUAUAUUCAUUUAGAAACAACAAUAUUAAUGUUUUAACUCAUGAAGAGUUCAGAAAUCAAUAUUUGGUGGAAUAACCAGGAGGUUUUCAAUGGGGUUCAGUGCAGGAUUGUUGGUAACUAUUAUUGUGUAAAAUUAUUACACAAUUUAAUAAAAAACCAAUUUUUCCAUUUCACUUUUUGUUUUUAUAUUUUACUAAUAUGGCGUCAGUUUUUAGAGUAAUUGUCUAAAACUGGCAGUAGGUUUGGGAGUUGAUUUUGAGCCAAUAUUCAACUGGAAAACCUUCAAUCAGCUCAUCGUUAAUAAUACUGAUAAUAACUAAUUGUUCAUCUGGUCCUUUAAGAGACAUUCUCAUUUCAUCCAUAAAACCUUUAAAUGCUUUGUUUCUUGUUGGCUAUUUGCAACAAAAUGUUUGGCUUUAUUAGUUAGUGCUGCACCCUCCAAGAGACUUUUGAUCAUUUUUGACAAGUUAAAUCAACUUUUUGACCCAUUUUGAAAAAACAAGCAUUAAAGUUUAUCCAGGUUAGAGAAAGAAAAUAUGCCUAAAAAUGAUUAUCUGGUCGAAAUACUCACUUGCCUAAUAAUUGUGCACAUAGUGUGUAGUGAAGGUUUUUUUGGUCUCAUCAUGGCGUCAGAGAGAAAAAGAGAAAUGCCUUUCCCCCCUCAUAGAUGCAUCAUUUCUCGAAUGUAGGUCAGAAGACCCCAGGGGCCUUCAAUGGGCUCCUGGGGUCCCCCAGCAAAUUAAGAAAUAGAUUAAUAGGGCUGCAACUUAACGCCAUAGGAAAUUCCUCAAUUACAGAUACUACAUGAGAUUUAGGAACGAUUAAUGUAAAUGUAGGUUUUCUUCUCAUACCGUCUCCUUGGAGAUGACAAAAGCUGUCUUCUUCAGGAGUUUGGGACAUGUUGUACCGCACCGCAAAUUGUCCGGAUUCCUUCAUUACUCUUUCCUGAUUUGCAAUUCAGAUAGCCGGCCGCUCUAUUUGCCCUCAUUCCAGCCGUAAUCCAUUUCAACCUUGCCUGCCCCUGUAAUCUACUUUGGCCUUUUCAGCUAAAGGAAACGCUUCCACAAACCCAAUCUAGUGUGACAGGUGUGAUGGAGAACGGCCAAUAAAAGCCGGCGCGGGGCGCCGCGUGAAGCCGCCGGCUCUCCAAUCGGCUGUUGGGCCCCGCUGUGGUUUGGUUCCUGGCUGCCACGCUCUCCGCUGCGCUCCCUCUGCGCUGUUGACCCUCCGUGCCCUUGGGCGAGGGGAAAGGGAAAAGGACACUCAGGGGAGGCCGGACCCCGCCGCUUUCUUCGGGUACAGGAUUGUCUCUGCAGAACCUAAUUACAGCAAACAAAUGCACAUCUGUGGUGUAGCAUUCAAACAAUAUUCUGCUUUAAAAGGCUGCACCCGUAGUAAGGAUGCACGUUGUCUAUUAAUGAGUUAAUAUGACGUCGAUUGAUCUCAUUGAUUGAUUAAUAAGCGGCCAUUUUCUUAAAAACCUCAAUUCACUCUUGUAUCAAGAGCGUUGAACCUCUUCAACGAAGGGCUAAAUGUUUCAUAAUAUGCUAAAUUAAAAAGAAAAGUACAUUAUAUGUGAGCAUUAUUUUGUGUCAGCUGUGUUAAGAUGAUUGUGAUUUCACACAUUAUUAAACUUAGACAUAAUGAGAAAAUAUAAUCAAUUUGGUUGCUUAAUCAAAAAAUAAAAGAUGAAAAGGAUAAAUAUGUGAAAUAGAGAAGUUCACACCAAGAACUGUAACUAGCUGCAUUUCCAUUGACCAGAUAAUUAUGUAAUUUGAAAUUUAGGAAAUAAAUUUGCUUAAUGAAAACACGCUAAGAUGAGGUGUUUUUUGAAAUUGGUUAAUUUCGCCAAACUGCAAUGGAGACACUUUCUUUAGCCUUUCAUGAGUCACAUGAUCUACAACCGGAUGUGACCAUUGGCACAAACCAUGAAGAAGACGACAAUAGGAAGUAGUAGGAUGAUGGCACUGCAUGUUUUUUAAUAACUUAUUGCGUGAGCAAACUUAUUCAAGUGUACUUUUAAUUAUGUUUCUUAUGUAAGUGUGAAAUUGCAACAUAAACUCAACUGCUGAGGAGGAAGGCAGACUUUAUCAUCGUUUUAGGACAUUAAGAAUUAGUUUUGGUUGAAAAGUUAACGCUGUCGAGUGUUCGUAUAUCAAAGCAGAACCACAUAAAGUGCAUUUUUCAUUCCACAUGAACUGUCUGGAUCGUUUCACGUUCCUAUUGUGCUGGCAUAGCGCCGCCAUCUUUAUUUCUGUAUUUGGCUUUGCUUAAGGAUGACCUGCAGCUCCCUCUGCUGGAUGGCAACCAAACUACAACACUGAAAGAAGGACAGCUGGUGCUGUGCGGUUCCCACCGCAGACAUGAAUCUCUGGUGUUGAGGCCACAAGAGGAUGCACUCGGAGCAGAAACUGGGGUAGUAAAGGGAAUAAUUACAGAGUUAAACUGCAAAAUAAAUGUCUUGUUUUCACCGGGAACAGGCGGCUGAAGGGAAUACAGACGCUUAUGAAAAACAGAUACCUGAGCAAAAAUAAAGCCAACCACACCAAGAAGACAGAGGCUAAUUUAUGCUGCUGCCAAUCACUGAAUAUAAUUGCAAUAGCAUGGUAUAAUAGCAGCUCAGGACUAGUCAUUUUCCCCCUCCGGCUCUAUCUCAGGUGCUUGGAGAGGUUUCCAUCAGCUCCUGAUUUUUCAAGAGAGACCUCUCAGACAUAAAUGACAAUGGACUUUCAAUGGCUUAUAAUUAUGCCACUUUCCUGCGCAAUUUCCUGCCCGUCAUUUGCAUUAAGACUCAUGCGGGUGAAAGUGAGCCACACGCUGCUCUGCUAAAGGCCCUCGGAUCGACCCCAUGCUUCAAAUUACCAGGUGCUCUAACACUUCUUGGAACGUCUCUGCUCCCCCCGCCGCCGCUGUCCUAAAGUUAUCCGACUGUUAAUUGGAUGGAUGACGUCCAGAGUGUGUGACUGCGUGAGGAUUGCAGAGAGAGGCGUGCGCCUCGGAUUUGUGCCACGGAAACCAGCGUUCGCCGUUUCCUCUCUCCAAGGUUAUUCAACACUGCAUCUUGUGUUCUCAAAAAACUAAAAUCCUUUAAAAUAAUAAAUAAAAAAUUAUGCUGAAUGUCUUGGUGAUCUGUGUUGGAUCAAGGGCCAAAUGUAAUACUGCCAUCUAGUGGACGUGACAGGAAAAAGACUGCUUAACAGUUGGGGAUAAAUGUGAAAUGGGAAGAAAAUAAUUUGAUUUCAUGUUUAGAAAUAAAAUUCUGAAUUGUCUA